rnacentral:rRNA from 1 species
AUGCACUUGAUUAUCCGUCGUUUCACCUGUGUGGCCGUGGGAGGUAAAAAUCCUCCUCUCCUUCGACCGUCGUUUGAACGGCACACCUGUGCGGCACUCUGCGAUCGGCAGGACGUGACAGCGAGUGGAGCUAAUUAUUCAUUCAACUAUAGCAGCUUCACAUCACCUGAUUACGCCGCAAAGAGACCUGGAGGGCAGGGGAUCAAACAUUCCAUAUUCUUUCAGUUUGGAUUACGGCGAAGCGGAUGGUGGACCAAUAGGGCCAUCGACGAGACGGCACUGGCGCAUCGGCGCCGGAUAACUGAUCCGGUUAGCAGCAAGUUGAGCAGCAGCCAUCAGAAAAACGGGUUCCAGGGCCUUUCCGCAUCAUUGCUUGCUUGCACCGGAUCGACGUUUCGCUUGUAUGUACUACGUGCGUUUGUCUCGUGCCGAGUCGGGUGUGGCGAGACCUUUGUGCGCGCCGCAUUAACGUCCAACGGGAUGGGGUCAUGGGGCACCAGCGGUGGGCAUGGGGACUUUCGGCUCUUUUAUGACGGGAAGGUGGGGGAGGACCGUGCGGACGGCGAGAGCUCGGCGUCAGACCCCUCUUGCCCGUCGGGCUUCUCCGGCCCCUGGUUGUCGCCGCCCGCGACAAGCAAAGAUGUUGACUGGAAGGCAGCGAGGCGGCUGCUGCAGGGCACCGUCACGCCGUCGCUGGAGCGCGAGCUUGCCGCGUUCAAGCCCAGCGAGGCGGCUGCUGCAGGGCACCGUCACGCCGUCGCUAGAGCGCGAGCUCGCCGCGUUCAAGCCGGCCGACGUCGUCGCCUCAAGCUACGUUACGAGCUCGACGAGACGACCAAGGCGGCGGCGGCGCGGGAGGAGCUGUGCAGGAAAAUGAAGGCGUGGGAGCGCGACACCGCCGAGGCGGACGCGCUGCGGGCGGAGCUACGCAAGGCCAAGGCCGUGCUCGCCGAGACCAAGGCGGACGCGGGGAUUACGGCAGCGGCGGCGCGUGGGCUCUGGGAGGAGUUGGACAGGAAGCAGAAGCAACGGGAGCGCGACGUCGCCGAGUCGGACGCGCUUCGGGCGGAGCUGGACAAGGCGAAGGCCGAGCUCGCCGCGACCAAGGCGGACGCGGAGAGGGCGGCGGCGCGGUGGUUCUGA